UGGGGAAUCUUCCGCAAUGGGCGAAAGCCUGACGGAGCAACGCCGCGUGAGUGAAGACGGCCUUCGGGUUGUAAAGCUCUGUUAUACGGGACGAAUAAUCUUGUGGUUAAUACCCAUGAGAAGUGACGGUACCGUAAGAGAAAGCCACGGCUAACUACGUGCCAGCAGCCGCGGUAAUACGUAGGUGGCAAGCGUUGUCCGGAAUUAUUGGGCGUAAAGGGCGCGCAGGCGGCUUCUUAAGUCUGUCUUAAAAGUGCGGGGCUUAACCCCGUGAUGGGAUGGAAACUGGGAAGCUCAGAGUAUCGGAGAGGAAAGCGGAAUUCCUAGUGUAGCGGUGAAAUGCGUAGAUAUUAGGAGGAACACCAGUGGCGAAAGCGGCUUUCUGGACGAAAACUGACGCUGAGGCGCGAAAGCCAGGGGAGCGAACGGGAUUAGAUACCCCGGUAGUCCUGGCCGUAAACGAUGGGUACUAGGUGUAGGAGGUAUCGACCCCUUCUGUGCCGGAGUUAACGCAAUAAGUACCCCGCCUGGGGAGUACGGCCGCAAGGUUG
rnacentral:rRNA from 1 species